GGUUAAGCGACUAAGCGUACACGGUGGAUGCCCUGGCAGUCAGAGGCGAUGAAGGACGUGCUAAUCUGCGAUAAGCGUCGGUAAGGUGAUAUGAACCGUUAUAACCGGCGAUUUCCGAAUGGGGAAACCCAGUGUGAUUCGUCACACUAUCAUUAACUGAAUCCAUAGGUUAAUGAGGCGAACCGGGGGAACUGAAACAUCUAAGUACCCCGAGGAAAAGAAAUCAACCGAGAUUCCCCCAGUAGCGGCGAGCGAACGGGGAGCAGCCCAGAGCCUGAAUCAGUGUGUGUGUUAGUGGAAGCGUCUGGAAAGGCGCGCGAUACAGGGUGACAGCCCCGUACACAAAAAUGCACAUGCUGUGAGCUCGAUGAGUAGGGCGGGACACGUGGUAUCCUGUCUGAAUAUGGGGGGACCAUCCUCCAAGGCUAAAUACUCCUGACUGACCGAUAGUGAACCAGUACCGUGAGGGAAAGGCGAAAAGAACCCCGGCGAGGGGAGUGAAAAAGAACCUGAAACCGUGUACGUACAAGCAGUGGGAGCACGCUUAGGCGUGUGACUGCGUACCUUUUGUAUAAUGGGUCAGCGACUUAUAUUCUGUAGCAAGGUUAACCGAAUAGGGGAGCCGAAGGGAAACCGAGUCUUAACUGGGCGUUAAGUUGCAGGGUAUAGACCCGAAACCCGGUGAUCUAGCCAUGGGCAGGUUGAAGGUUGGGUAACACUAACUGGAGGACCGAACCGACUAAUGUUGAAAAAUUAGCGGAUGACUUGUGGCUGGGGGUGAAAGGCCAAUCAAACCGGGAGAUAGCUGGUUCUCCCCGAAAGCUAUUUAGGUAGCGCCUCGUGAAUUCAUCUCCGGGGGUAGAGCACUGUUUCGGCAAGGGGGUCAUCCCGACUUACCAACCCGAUGCAAACUGCGAAUACCGGAGAAUGUUAUCACGGGAGACACACGGCGGGUGCUAACGUCCGUCGUGAAGAGGGAAACAACCCAGACCGCCAGCUAAGGUCCCAAAGUCAUGGUUAAGUGGGAAACGAUGUGGGAAGGCCCAGACAGCCAGGAUGUUGGCUUAGAAGCAGCCAUCAUUUAAAGAAAGCGUAAUAGCUCACUGGUCGAGUCGGCCUGCGCGGAAGAUGUAACGGGGCUAAACCAUGCACCGAAGCUGCGGCAGCGACACUAUGUGUUGUUGGGUAGGGGAGCGUUCUGUAAGCCUGUGAAGGUGUACUGUGAGGUAUGCUGGAGGUAUCAGAAGUGCGAAUGCUGACAUAAGUAACGAUAAAGCGGGUGAAAAGCCCGCUCGCCGGAAGACCAAGGGUUCCUGUCCAACGUUAAUCGGGGCAGGGUGAGUCGACCCCUAAGGCGAGGCCGAAAGGCGUAGUCGAUGGGAAACAGGUUAAUAUUCCUGUACUUGGUGUUACUGCGAAGGGGGGACGGAGAAGGCUAUGUUGGCCGGGCGACGGUUGUCCCGGUUUAAGCGUGUAGGCUGGUUUUCCAGGCAAAUCCGGAAAAUCAAGGCUGAGGCGUGAUGACGAGGCACUACGGUGCUGAAGCAACAAAUGCCCUGCUUCCAGGAAAAGCCUCUAAGCAUCAGGUAACAUCAAAUCGUACCCCAAACCGACACAGGUGGUCAGGUAGAGAAUACCAAGGCGCUUGAGAGAACUCGGGUGAAGGAACUAGGCAAAAUGGUGCCGUAACUUCGGGAGAAGGCACGCUGAUAUGUAGGUGAAGUCCCUCGCGGAUGGAGCUGAAAUCAGUCGAAGAUACCAGCUGGCUGCAACUGUUUAUUAAAAACACAGCACUGUGCAAACACGAAAGUGGACGUAUACGGUGUGACGCCUGCCCGGUGCCGGAAGGUUAAUUGAUGGGGUCAGCGCAAGCGAAGCUCUUGAUCGAAGCCCCGGUAAACGGCGGCCGUAACUAUAACGGUCCUAAGGUAGCGAAAUUCCUUGUCGGGUAAGUUCCGACCUGCACGAAUGGCGUAAUGAUGGCCAGGCUGUCUCCACCCGAGACUCAGUGAAAUUGAACUCGCUGUGAAGAUGCAGUGUACCCGCGGCAAGACGGAAAGACCCCGUGAACCUUUACUAUAGCUUGACACUGAACAUUGAGCCUUGAUGUGUAGGAUAGGUGGGAGGCUUUGAAGUGUGGACGCCAGUCUGCAUGGAGCCGACCUUGAAAUACCACCCUUUAAUGUUUGAUGUUCUAACGUGGACCCGUGAUCCGGGUUGCGGACAGUGUCUGGUGGGUAGUUUGACUGGGGCGGUCUCCUCCUAAAGAGUAACGGAGGAGCACGAAGGUUGGCUAAUCCUGGUCGGACAUCAGGAGGUUAGUGCAAUGGCAUAAGCCAGCUUGACUGCGAGCGUGACGGCGCGAGCAGGUGCGAAAGCAGGUCAUAGUGAUCCGGUGGUUCUGAAUGGAAGGGCCAUCGCUCAACGGAUAAAAGGUACUCCGGGGAUAACAGGCUGAUACCGCCCAAGAGUUCAUAUCGACGGCGGUGUUUGGCACCUCGAUGUCGGCUCAUCACAUCCUGGGGCUGAAGUAGGUCCCAAGGGUAUGGCUGUUCGCCAUUUAAAGUGGUACGCGAGCUGGGUUUAGAACGUCGUGAGACAGUUCGGUCCCUAUCUGCCGUGGGCGCUGGAGAACUGAGGGGGGCUGCUCCUAGUACGAGAGGACCGGAGUGGACGCAUCACUGGUGUUCGGGUUGUCAUGCCAAUGGCACUGCCCGGUAGCUAAAUGCGGAAGAGAUAAGUGCUGAAAGCAUCUAAGCACGAAACUUGCCCCGAGAUGAGUUCUCCCUGACUCCUUGAGAGUCCUGAAGGAACGUUGAAGACGACGACGUUGAUAGGCCGGGUGUGUAAGCGCAGCGAUGCGUUGAGCUAACCGGUACUAAUGAACCGUGAGGCUUAACCUU
rnacentral:rRNA from 1 species